rnacentral:rRNA from 1 species
GCUCAACCGAGGAAGUGCUUCGAAAACUGGUAAACUUGAGUGCAGAAGAGGAAAGUGGAACUCCAUGUGUAGCGGUGGAAUGCGUAGAUAUAUGGAAGAACACCAGUGGCGAAGGCGGCUUUCUGGUCUGUAACUGACGCUGAGAUUCGAAAGCAUGGGUAGCAAACAGGAUUAGAUACCCUGGUAGUCCAUGCCGUAAACGAUGAGUGCUAAGUGUUGGAGGGUUUCCGCCCUUCAGUGCUGCAGCUAACGCAUUAAGCACUCCGCCUGGGGAGUACGACCGCAAGGUUGAAACUCAAAGGAAUUGACGGGGGCCCGCACAAGCGGUGGAGCAUGUGGUUUAAUUCGAAGCAACGCGAAGAACCUUACCAGGUCUUGACAUACCAUGAAAAGCUUAGAGAUAGUCUUUCCCUUCGGGGACAUGGAUACAGGUGGUGCAUGGUUGUCGUCAGCUCGUGUCGUGAGAUGUUGGGUUAAGUCCCGCAACGAGCGCAACCCUUAUUAUCAGUUGCCAGCAUUCAGUUGGGCACUCUGGUGAGACUGCCGGUGACAAACCGGAGGAAGGUGGGGACGACGUCAAAUCAUCAUGCCCCUUAUGACCUGGGCUACACACGUGCUACAAUGGUCGGUACAACG